GUCACCGCGGCCGCCGGGGGCCCUCCUCCCAGCCCCGCGCGGUGGCCCGCCCCCCUCCCUCCCGGGGGGCUGGCGGCUGAGCAGAUCGCGAGGAGGCUGCUGGCGGGGGGAGCUUCCAAGACCCCCGCUGUCCGGCCGCGUGGCCGAAGGGGGCAGCCCCCCGGCAUCUCUGGGGAGCAAGCUGCUGCUGUCCGUUGGCCAGCCAGGUGCCCAUGCAGAGGCUGGGCCGGGCAGGGAGUGGACGCUGCGUGUGUGGCCGCCGAUCCCUGCUCCGAGCCGCGGGGGCUGGACUAGACGGCCUCUGGAGCCCCAUUCAGCUCCCCGGUUCUAAGAAGCGCUGGAGGAGGAGCUGGGAAGGGCGCCCACCCAGACACAGGGAAUAGGGGAAAGGAAGGGGGCACCCCCUGCUGAAGAAGCCCCCCUGGAACCAGCACCAGGUCGUCCUCUGUCCUCUCUGCGGAAGCGUUUCCCUGCAAGCAAGCGGGUUUGAUCUCCGUCCCCGUGCAAUGUACCUCAACCGGUUCCAAACCGGUUCCACGUUUCCAAAGCAGUGACCAAAAAAAGAGCUUUGGAAAGCUAGCGUGUGAACCAGCCGAGAGGUGGCGAGUCCAGCGACCCCGGGGAAGAACCAGAGCUGGGCUGAGCCCACAGACUCGGCACCCUGGCGCCAAGACACAGAUCUCCUCACCAGAGCGCCCCCCCCCCGCCAAGUCCACGGAGGCUCCUCCUGAGCAGGGAAGCCAAGGGGCUGCCGGACGAGGGCUCCUCUGCCAAGCUGACCCGAGGAUCUCCAAGCAAGGGAGCCACGGAUCGUCGGACCGGCUCUGCUCUCCUGCCAGCAAACCACGAAAGGUACGGCUGGGAGUGGGAAGCCAAAGCCAAGCAGCAGAGUUACUUCCCCACAGGCAGUUUCUCAUACUCCCCCCCCCCCACACACACACACUGGGCUGGAGUUAACCCGGAGCUUGCCUAGACAUGAAGAGCCCUGCUCUGAAGAGGAAGCUGUGUGUGCGCUCAGUUUUGGGAUGUGUGGGAGCCAGCGAAGAGGGAAAGCCUGGGA